AUUGAACGCUGGCGGCAUGCCUAACACAUGCAAGUCGAGCGAGCGGCGGACGGGUGAGUAAUGUAUGGGGACUGCCCGAUAGAGGGGGAUAACUACUGGAAACGGUGGCUAAUACCGCAUACUAUCGGAUGACCCCUAUGGGAUUAGCUAGUAGGUGGGGUAAAGGCUCACCAAGGCGACGAUCAGUAGCUGGUCUGAGAGGAUGAUCAGCCACAUUGGGAAUAAGACACGGCCCCAACUCCUACGGAGGCAGGAGUGGGGAAUCUUGCGCAAGGGGCGAAAGCCUGACGCAGCCAUGCCGGGGAAAUGAUGAAGGUCUUAGGAUUGUAAAAUUCUUUAACCGGGGACGCGGUACCCGGAGAAGAAGCACCGGCUAACUUCGUGCCAGCAGCCGCGGUAAUUC
rnacentral:rRNA from 1 species